AAAAAUCAAUACAUAAACCGUGUGGGAGGGAUUUAUCUCCUAAAUCCUACGCUCUCCCUCUCUUUCUCAAACUCAAAUACUGCCCCCGAAUCCUAUGUCUUGCCGACCUCUCCUGAGUCUCCUCUCCGGGGUCUGGCCGCUAGCAAUCUCUCUAUCCCCUCUGUCGGACGUCAAAGAGGCGUUCCCGCACAACUCGGAGGGUGGGGCCCAAAUGACGGCAGAGCAUCUGUGGCAAUUCCUGGUGGUGGUCUAGGGGGAGGUCGGCGCUACUGUUGCCGACACCAAGCGCAUACUGCAGAUCCUCCGAAAACAACCCUACAUCGCCAAGUUUUCCAGACGCACUCUCACUCUCGAGGAUUUCCACUAGUUCCUCUUCUCUGCUGAUUUCAACCCCCCAAUUGGCUCUCAGAUCUGUUUUCUGAAACAAAAAGUGCAAAACCCUACUUGAAGGUUGUUGCAAGGAAAAUAGUUGUUUCGGCUACAGAAGUGAUUAAUUUGGUGCUUUUAAGAUGAAGGAGGAAGCUUCAUUAUACGGUUGGUGUUUGUUUUGAUCACUGUUUGUGUUCUUAUUGUGUUUCCUUGCAUGUACAAAUUUAAGGACACGUUUAUGGGAAAAAAUAGCGAUUUUGUUGAUGUAAUCUUGAAUAAUAGCUCCCUAAUUUUUUUUAAAAAAUAAUUUUGCAUUUACUUUGAUUCCUCGGGUAAUAUUGUCUAUUGAGAUUAAGCAGUUUUAGUGUUGAAGGUGCAUGAAAGUUUUUCAUUAUUUUAUGUCAAAGUUUUUCAUUAUUUUAUGUCAAUGCUUUUGAAUGAGUGUCUUCAAGCACUGACACAGUUGCGCUCUUUAGAUUUCAGACCUUUGAAGAUGGACCAUUUUCAGAAUUUGAAUACAACUCUUCAAUAUUUCAUUGUUGUCUUAAUUCUUAUACCGAGAUAUGUUGCUAACCUUAGCCCUAUUGUUAGGAUUAGGAAAGAAGAGAGUGGAGAAGAAAAUGCCUAUUAGGUCCUUGACAAAAUGCUGUCCUAGGUGUUUAUUAUUUUUGUUCGUUCGGAAGUUUGUGAUUAGAGUUCGAAAUAUUCUGAUUAUAGUUCCUUGAAGUUCAUGAUUUGUGUUUGUUCAGUAGUAAAAAAGUGUUGGGGAAGAAGUACAAAAAUGUCAACGAGUAUGGUUCUUCCAACUAUUUUUCUCAAGGUUAGUUUUUUGAGCAUUCACCAAGUAAAUCCAAAUAGAAUUCUACACUUCAUGGGCGAGUUUGUGAAAGCUGGGUAAUUCUUUUAGAGAUGUACACUCACCUCUACAUAUUUCUUUUGUAAUUACUUGAUCAUUUGGUUUCUCAAAAAUCUCUUAUACUCAUUUUCUGCAUGAACCGCUUUGUAACUUUUACACAACUGAAGGGUAUUUAUGCUUGGCAUUAACUCUUAUUUGCAUGCCCAAAGGCAUAUCUUUAAUUGAUGGUUGGGAGUGGCAGGAGAGAACAGUUUCUUAAACUGAAGUCGCCUGAUUGUGAACUUUGCUAUGUGAUUAUGGUGAUACCAAUACACUUGAAUGGGCUAACCUUCUAUGCAAUAAGCUGUUCUGAUACGCAACAACGAUUCUUUCGGGUUUUGCCGCGACAGCUAUAAGGCUAUGAAGAUCAGUUGAGCAGAAUUUCAAAGACCAUGAUCUGACCCAUUUCCUUGGGGGGCACACAGAGGGUCUGUAGAAGGCUCUUAUGGGCAACUGUUGUUGCAGCCAUGGCGGAGUCGGAUUCUUGUUUGAUCAUACACAGAUCUGAGCCUUCACGCUUUAUUCCCUUCAAUUUCUAUUCAUAUAUUACACAUACACACAUGAUACAUAGUUACAUACAUGCAUUUACAGUUUA